rnacentral:rRNA from 1 species
CUCUGUGACUCCUACGGGAGGCAGCAGUGGGGAAUAUUGCACAAUGGGCGCAAGCCUGAUGCAGCCAUGCCGCGUGUGUGAAGAAGGCCUUCGGGUUGUAAAGCACUUUCAGUUGUGAGGAAGGUGGUGUCGUUAAUAGCGGCAUCAUUUGACGUUAGCAACAGAAGAAAGCACCGGCUAACUCCGUGCCAGCAGCCGCGGUAAUACGGAGGGUGCGAGCGUUAAUCGGAAUUACUGGGCGUAAAGCGCAUGCAGGUGGUUUGUUAAGUCAGAUGUGAAAGCCCGGGGCUCAACCUCGGAACUGCAUUUUGAAACUGGCAGACUAGAGUACUGUAGAGGGGGGUAGAAUUUCAGGUGUAGCGGUGAAAUGCGUAGAGAUCUGAAGGAAUACCGGUGGCGAAGGCGGCCCCCUGGACAGAUACUGACACUCAGAUGCGAAAGCGUGGGGAGCAAACAGGAUUAGAUACCCUGGUAG